rnacentral:ncRNA from 10 species
UUGAAUGUAUUGGGAGAGAGCGAAAAUGUCGUCACCGAAGGAGCAAAUUCCAAAAAGACCCUUUGGAAUUAAUCUCUCAGGUAAAAGAACCAAUACAGGACG